ACUCCUACGGGAGGCAGCAGUGAGGAAUUUUCUGCAAUGGGCGCAAGCCUGACAGAGCAAUACCGCGUGAGGGAUGAAGACUUACUGAGUUGUAAACCUCGGUGCCUUAAGGAAGAAGAUCUGACGGUACUUAAGGUGGAAAGCAUCGGCUAACUCCGUGCCAGCAGCCGCGGUAAU
rnacentral:rRNA from 1 species